GUCAAAAAGUUGCUCAACAGACCACGGUUACUGGUCUGAAACCCAGGUCCUUCCUCCUCCCUGUUCCUCCAAACCAACAAACAAAAACAAAACACUUCUAUCCAAAAUCCCUAAGAACAAGUCAGAGGGAAAUCAGCUACCCCAAGAACUCCCUAAAAAGUGGCUUUUGGAUGUAUGAACCCCUGUGUAAAGCAAGAGCGAGUCAUAUGAUGUUGUUUGUUACAUCUCCAGCUAGUAUUGUCCCUAUCGGCUUUACCUUGGCUCACCCGGCUGCCCAUAACAGCCCUGGAAGCACGAGGGACCACAGGGAGAUCUCUGAGGAUCUACAGCGAUGACCUAAUCGACCAGAGAGAGGACGCACAGUAGAUAGAGAACAAGUCUGAGUCAGACGGUGGACUCUAGGCGGAAACGGACUAGCUAGCCCUGAGCAGUAUCUUGCUGCGCCUCCUGUCCGGCCAUUCCACGUUCUGCCCUGCCCUGCCACGAGCUGCCCUGCGCGCGCGCCUCACUCACACGCACACGCCUUAGCACACGCACACACGCGCGCACGCACAUUGCUCUCAGCAGCGCCUCUCGCCAGACCGUGGGGCGACAUCCACCUGGGAGGGGCGGCGGCCCUGCCCCGACAGAGAUAGCCCCGCAAAGGGACAGAGAGGCCCUGGGGGUUCUGGAGUGCGUGGGCCGCGACAGAAGACGCACGGCGGCAGGCCUCCACAACAGAAUUCGGCGCACUAUGGUUGUGCAGCUCCUUGACCCCCAAGGUAUAUCCACAGCGCCCACCCGCGGCCCCAAAGCACCUGGAGAGCUCGUCUUAGGGGUUAACCAGUCACACCAACCUGAGACGCCCUGCAGCUGCCAAAACCCGAACCAGAAGCCCAGAACGUGGAACCCAAUUCAGUGAUUUUCCUCAUCCAGUCCAACCAUGCAUCCAUCCAUCCUUGCAUGCUUGCAUGCAUGCAUGCAUGCAUACCAUACAAAUCGGUGGACGGAAGCGCGGAGAGUUCUUUGCCCAGCUAUGGGCUGAGAACGGGCGCCCCCUUUGCAGCUCUUUCGCCUCCAGCUCAACCAGGGCCCCCUCCGCGAGGAGAGAACAGCUCAAUUACGAAAGGAGCAAAGAAACGAAAUCCCCGGCUCCAACGCCCUGCCCACCGGAGCUUCUCCGGUCCCUCUUUCUGUUGCACGUUCCCCACCCCCACUGUCCCCAGCUCAGGGGCGGGCGGUCUAGGAGGCGGCGGUGCGAGGGGUCCUGCCUGGCUCCGCGGGAACAAAGCCCGCCGCGGGAGCUCGCGGCCGAGCUCAGAGCGGGUGACAAAGGCAGGCAGGCGGUGCCAAGCUCCAAGGCAGCGCUCCUAUGGCUAGGCGGGAAGAAGGCCCCUAAAAUGGAUGCGAUUUGCACCCAGAUUUUUCUGGACUUCUGUGUUCCUCUCCUGUGUGCCCAAAGACCUGUUGGGUGACUCAGCGUUUAUGUCCCUGGUCCUGCAACCUCGGCGGCCUCCCGCGUCUCUUGUGCCUUCCAUCUCGCCCAGCUUUUUUCUCCACCUCACUCGGUUUACCUCGGCCCCUUCUCACUUUGAGGGUUAGGGUUUUUUCCCCUCUUUCUUUUCCAUGGUAAAACAAUGAUAGCUGGACUUCUGCAGACGUCUCUGUGUUCAAAUAACAUUCUGAAAGACCUUUCUGGGCAUUUGCUGGCAGAAAGGGGAAAGUACAUGGGAGCCUUUUAAUUUUAUUAUGCAAACUGCACUUUAAAUAAAAUAAAAUGCCUUUAGAAUGCGAUCUAAGAAAGACAGACUUAGCCCUGAGGCCGAACAGAUUCCUGCUGAAUUCGGCAAGUGUCCCUGUCGCCUCCCACAAAUCACAUAAAUGACAGGGGGGAGGCAGAAGAACCCCUCCCUGUGGAAUUGGGCUUCCAUUCCUCAUGAGAAUGGGAGCUCAAGUCUCUGAGGCAGACCUUUCUGGGAAAAAAAGUUCUAAUCUUGCUUUCUAACCCUGGAUUGGAAUUGCUGCCAAGACCCUACCAAUAAAAUCGUACAAUUUUUAAAUUUAAA